UACGUAGGGGGGCUAGCGUUGUCCGGAAUCAUUGGGCGUAAAGCGCGUGUAGGCGGUUCGGUAAGUCCGCUGUGAAAGUCGGGGGCUCAACCCUCGGAUGCCGGUGGAUACUGUCGGACUAGAGUACGGAAGAGGCGAGUGGAAUUCCUGGUGUAGCGGUGAAAUGCGCAGAUAUCAGGAGGAACACCAAUUGCGAAGGCAGCUCGCUGGGACGUUACUGACGCUGAGGCACGAAGGCCAGGGGAGCAAACGGG
rnacentral:rRNA from 1 species